rnacentral:lncRNA from 1 species
GCCAGAAGGCAGCACCCAGGGGUGCAGAGAUCUGGGAUGGAGCCAGCAGGCAGCACUCAGGGAGCAGAGAUCUGGGAGGGGCCCAGCAGGCAGCACCCAGGGGUGCAGAGAUCUAGGAGGGAGCCAACAGGCAGCACUCAGGGAGCAGAGAUCUGGGAAGGGGGCCAGAAGGCAGCACCCAGGGGUGCAGAGAUCUGGGAGAGGGGCCAGAAGGCAGCACCUAGGGGUGCAGAGAUAUGGGGUGGCUUGGGCUGCGGUAGAAAUCCUGGAAAAGGGAAGAAGGAGACAGAUACAAAGGGAGAGGGAGAAGGAAAGAAGAGGAGGAGGAGACAGAGCAAGAGGGAGAGCCCUGGGAGCCAGCAGCAUCGAGGGGAGCAGAGAGCCAGGGACAGGGAAGCAGGCAGAGAGCGAGCGAGCUAAGCGAGCCUGGGCGGUGGGAAGCGGACUCCGGGGGGAGAGUUUCCCAGCCCUGGGAGCCAGCACCACUGAGGGGAGCAGAGAUCCGGGAAGAGAAGGAAGCGACCAGCCUGGGGAGUGCGAGCGAUACCAAGGCAAGCAGAGCCCCAGGGAGGGAGACACACGGAGGGGGAGGAGGCGGCAGACUGCCCGGCCUGGGGGCCAGCGGCACCCAGGGGAGCGCACCCCGACGCGAGGAUCACAGCACCAGCCCCCCAGAGCAUGCAGCGCCUCUCCCCCGUGCAAGCACUGCCCGCCCAUCGGCAGGGGAGCGGGCCAGCCGCUGGCACCGAGCCGCCCGGGGGCCCCUUCUCCCGGCAGCCGCGGGGAGCCAGGGCUUUGCAGCAGUGACACGCCGGGACCGCGGGUUCCGCGCUGGGGAGCCCGGGGCUCUGCUGCAGGGGGGCGGCGUUUAGCGCCUGUCCCCGGCGGGCUUUGCAGGGCGCUUAGAAAGGGGACGGGGGGGGGCGCUUCUCGCUGCUCCCCUUCUUUAGCUUCCGCUCCCCGGGGUCCCCUGCCCCUCAGCUGGGGCUGCAGCAUCCCGCGCAGGGCGCUGGCUCGGAUCAAGAGACACCCCGACCCCAAACUUCCCCCCCUCCUGGCUCAGGGGGGCGACGGACCCGCCCGCUCCCGCGAGCUGGACGCUGCCAGGGGCCACAUGCAGCCGCCCCCCGCCCGGGUUGCAGGAUGGAGGCGGGGGGGGGGCACAGGAGCUCCCUCCCCACUUACGCACCGGACCCUGGCGGGGGGCUGCGCACGUAGGAGCAGGAGGCGGGGCAAAGGACAAAGGAGCCAGGAUGGGGUAAUGGAAAAAUACAGUCAGGGCUCCCGGGGGGGGGAGCCUGUGUCCGCGGAGGGGGCCCGGGC